rnacentral:rRNA from 1 species
CGGUAAUUCCAGCUCCAAUAGCGUAUACUAAAGUUGUUGCAGUUAAAAAGCUCGUAGUUGGAUUUCUGCGGGGACGGAGCGGCCGGACGCAACUUGCGUCUCGAGCUAGCGCUUUCCCCGCAUCCUGCCGCGAACCGUGCUACCAUUAGCUUGGUGGCGCUGGGGAUCGGCUCGAUUACUUUGAGAAAAAUAGAGUGUUCAAAGCAGGCCACACGCCUUGAAUAAGUUAGCAUGGAAUAAUGACUAAGGACUUUGGUUCUUUUCGUUGGUGUUCGGGACUGAAGUAAUGAUUGAUAGGGACAGUUGGGGCGGUCUGUAUUCCAAAGCGAGAGGUGAAAUUCUUAGACCUUCGGAAGACAAACAGCUGCGAAAGCGUUCCGCAAGGAUGUUCCCUUUGAUCAAGAACGAAAGUUGGGGGAUCGAAGACGAUCAGAUACCGUCGUAGUCUCAACUAUAAACUAUACCAGCUAGGGAUCGGCCAACGUUUAAUUAUUCGACUUGGUCGGCACCUUAUGAGAAAUCAAAGCAUCUGGGUUCCGGGGGGAGUAUGGUCGCAAGGCUGAAACUUAAAGGAAUUGACGGAAGGGCACCACCAGGCGUGGAGCCUGUGGCUUAAUUUGACUCAACACGGGAAAACUUACCAGGUCCAGACAUAGGAAGGAUUGACAGAUUGAUAGCUCUUUCUUGAUUCUGUGGGUGGUGGUGCAUGGCCGUUUUUAGUCGGUGAAGUGAUUUGUCUGCUUAAUUGCGUUAACGGACGAGACCCCAGCCUGCUAAAUAGCGCGGCCGAGCUUUGCUCGGUGCGAGCUUCUUAGAGGGACCAUGAUGCGCGAUAGCACAAGGAAGUUUGGGGCAACAACAGGUCUGUGAUGCCCUUAGAUGUUCUGGGCCGCACACGGGCUACACUGGCGCCUGCAACGAGCAUAUCAGCUGGCCCGAGAGGGUCUUGGCUAAUCUUUGGAACCGGCGCCGUGCUUGGGAUUGACCAUUGCAAUUGUUGGUCAUGCAACGAGGAAUGCCUUGUAAACGCGAGUCAUCAGCUCGCAUUGAAUACGUCCCUGCCCUUUGUACACACCGCCCGUCGCUCCUACCGAUGAAUGUUCCGAUGAAAUUUUCGGAGAGCGCCGGAGAACGGGGCUCUGCCCUGCAGAACUGGAGGCUCAAAGUCACUUAAAUCUGAACAUUUCGAGGAAGGAGAAGUCGUAACAAGGUAGCCG